rnacentral:rRNA from 1 species
AAACUAACAAGGAUUCCCCUAGUAACUGCGAGUGAAGCGGGAAAAGCUCAAAUUUGAAAUCUGGCUGUCGUAUGGCAGUCCGAGUUGUAAUUUCGAGAAGCAAUGCCCGCGCUGGACCGUGCAUAAGUCCUCUGGAAAGGGGUAUCAUAGAGGGUGACAAUCCCGUCUUUGGUACGGACUCCCAGCGCAUUGUGGUAUGCUCUCAAUGAGUCGAGUUGUUUGGGAAUGCAGCUCAAAAUGGGUGGUAAAUUCCAUCUAAAGCUAAAUAUUGGCGUGAGACCGAUAGCGAACAAGUACCGUGAGGGAAAGAUGAAAAGAACUUUGGAAAGAGAGUUAAACAGUACGUGAAAUUGUCAAUAGGGAAACGCUUGAAGUCAGUCGCGUUGCUCGGGGAUCAGCCUUCCUUUUGGUUGGUGUACUUCCUGAGUGAUGGGUCAACAUCAGUUUUGAUUGCUGGAGAAAGGUGCAAGGAAUGUGGCUCCCUCGGGAGUGUUAUAGCCUUGUGUCAUAUACAGUGGUUGGGACUGAGGAACUCAGCACGCCGCAAGGCAGCUCUUCGGAGACUUUCGUGCUUAGGAUGUUGGCAUAAUGGCUUUAAGCGAC